GCGGGAGUAGGCGCUGGAGUGGGCGCCGGUGUCGCUGUGGUUGUGGUGAACUCGGGCGUCGGUGAUGGGGAUGCCGGAGGUUCCGUUGGUGUUGGUGCUGGAGGUGGCAUCGGGGUCGGAGCUGAACUACGGUUUGGCUAAAGUGAAUUACGGCUGCGUGUGUGAUAUUCUCCGGAAAAGUUCGGAUGCGGAUGAAAGCCGGUGCGGUGGUGGCAGAGCAAAUGGCAAAGCGUCUGCUGCAGAGACAACAGCAUAAUUGUUGACUGAUGGCGUGUGACAAUUUACAGAUUGGUACUCUACCACUCUUAGUAAAUUGCCCCCGGAAGUUACCCAUACCGAGAUAUGCGAAGCCAUCCGUGCCUUCCCCAACGGCUCUGCUGCAGGUCCCGAUGGACUGAGGCCACAAUACCUUAAAGAGUUAAUCGGUAUGAAGCACAACGAACAAUCCAAAAAGCUUACCGAUUUAUUAGCUGCCGUUGCGAACAUCAUGCUGAAGGGAAAAGUUCCCCAGGAAACUGCAGAUGUCUUCUAUGGUGCCAGCCUCUUUGCCUUCAAGAAAAAGGACGGUGGCAUCAGGCCUAUAGCUGUCGGAUUUUGUCUUCGGCGAAUAGUAUGCCGCAUCGUGUCAUACAGAUGUACCCAUUUGAAUGACGUGCUACGGCCCGUGCAGUUAGGAUUUGCGACAAAAGGCGGCGUCGGUAUUUUAUCGAGCACGCUCUUCAAAUGGAAUCCCCACAAGUCUUUCUAAAGCUGGACGUGAAAAACGCAUUCAACUCCCUCGAUCGAAAUUGCAUUUUAAAAGCUGCGGAAGAACAUAUGCCUGCGUAUUACCACUUCGUGUGGCAGUGCUAUGGAACCCCCUCAGUGUUGUUGCACGGAUCCCAUCAAAUCCUUUCCAGGGCGGGCAUCCAGCAAGGAGACCCGCUC